rfam:Citrus sinensis cultivar Ridge Pineapple sweet orange scaffold00577_contig_13, whole genome shotgun sequence.
AUGUCAUGAUGAAGACAUCUUCUGAAAAACUCCUUAAAUCUUUCCUAAGCCUCAUACAAGCUUUUAUCUUCUAGUUGGUGAAAAGAAGUGAUCUCAUUUCGUAACUU